AUCAGGGGUAAACCUGUGGAACUCGAACGAACGAACGGGGAGAUUCACCGUAUUUCCGAUGAAAUUAACGGGUCCGCGGCGCGAUUCGUCACCGCGGUCGUCGUGCGUCUCUUCACGGGGACGUCGACGGUCGUGGCGAUCGCGUCGUUAGGAAAGGCCCGCGGAGUGCGUGCACUUCUCCCUCAGUAAAACACCGCGACCCGUUCGAUACAGACGAUUGAACGCACCGUGCGGUUGUCCCGUUUCGAACGUAAAAAAUUCGGGGCGGAGCCGCGGUGUCGCGAUCGUCUUCGGACGGUAAAGUACAAGGUUCACGUUCGCCCGUCUCCUUCACGGGAGACCGGGCGUCCGUGUCGCGAACCGAACGAACCUCGUUCGGACCUCGACGUUUACGCGUCGUGGGUUCCGCACGCAGUCAGUUCUUUCGCAGCGUCGCGACGUCUCGGACGGAACGUGUCCCGGUCGGCGGUGGUUUUGUUUCGGGCACUCACAGGACCC
rnacentral:rRNA from 1 species